GGAAGACAUGGAAAAUAUUUGGAACAUUUAGGAGAAAAAUGGAAAGUUUGGUGAAAAAAUGUGUUAAAAUGGAGGAAAAAAUAUGACAAACCUGUAAAGUGUUUUUUCUGCCCUUUUGUUUGUUUGUUUGUUUCUUCUCAAACAAAUGAUACAAAUGUAAAAGAAAUGAAAUGGAAGGAAAAGGAAUAAAUUAACAUCAUAAACCUGUUUUAUUAUUCUAUGAGACAGAUAUUUUUGUAUCGGUAUCGAAACCAAGUUUCGUUAAAUAACCGGUAUUUUUAAAAAAUGAAACGAUCCCCAUCCCUAAGCCGCAGUGACAUCACAUUCAUACGCAGCAGCUGAUUGGUUGUGUUUGUGUCACAGGGCACGGCCGGAGCAGCGGGAGAUGUCGGACCCCCGGGGAUGCCUGGAGCCUCUGGACCUCAGGUAACGCUCAGCACCAGAGGCUUCAGACUGUGUCGUCUGUAGGUCACACUCUGUCUGUCUGUGUAACUGUGUCUGUAUGUAUGUGUGCAGGGGCCCCGAGGUGUACGGGGCCAGCCGGCCCCCAAGGACCCGUCGGUUUACCUGGAGCUCAGGGAGGUCCAGGAGAAGGCGGAGCUCCAGGGCUGAGCGGGAGACGAGGCGCCAACGGACAGAAGGGCCAGCCCGGAGAUCCAGGAGUGCCGGGCGUCCCCGGACCCCAGGGCCCCGAGGGCCCCGGUGAGUCCCCCCUGAGGGUCAGAGUCUUUACUUUAAACAUGGCUAUGAUCGCCCUCUGAGUCUGUGUCUGUUACAGGGUCAGGACGGACGAGACGGGUACGGACCCCCGGGACCCAGCGGCAGCAAGGUACAAGGCCUCUGUCCUCAGACUGUCCUGCAGUAGAUACUGGAGCCUCUGUCCUCAGACUGGUCC
rnacentral:lncRNA from 1 species